rnacentral:rRNA from 1 species
AGCGCUUGUGACCAGACUUGCGUCCGGUGAAUCACCCAGCUCUCGCGGCUGGGGCAUUUUGCCGGCUCAGGCCAGCAUCAGCUUGCCGUCGGGGACAAAAGCUUCGGGAACGUAGCUCUCUUCGGGGAGUGUUAUAGCCCGUUGCAUAAUACCCUUCGGUGGGCUGAGGUACGCGCUCCGCAAGGAUGCUGGCGUAAUGGUCAUCAGCGACCCGUCUUGAAACACGGACCA